rnacentral:rRNA from 1 species
ACGAACGCUGGCGGCGUGCUUAACACAUGCAAGUCGAGCGGUAAGGCCCUUUCGGGGGUACACGAGCGGCGAACGGGUGAGUAACACGUGGGUGACCUGCCCUCAGCUCUGGGAUAAGCCUGGGAAACCGGUCGUAUACUGGAUAUGACUCCAUGACGCAUGUUGUGGGGUGGAAAGCCUUGUGCGGCUGAGGAUGGGCCCGGCGGCCUAUCAGCUUGUUGGUGGGGUGAUGGCCUACCAAGGCGACGACGGGUAGCCGGCCUGAGAGGGC